UACGUAGGGUCCGAGCGUUGUCCGGAAUUACUGGGCGUAAAGCGCGCGCAGGCGGUCCGCGAGGUGUCACGUGAAAGCCCCGGGCUCAACUCGGGAGGGUCGUGGCAAACCGGCGGACUUGAGGCCGGUAGAGGUGGGUGGAACUCCUGGUGGAGUGGUGAAAUGCGUAGAGAUCAGGAAGAACACCCGUGGCGAAGGCGGCCCACUGGGCCGGAACUGACGCUGAGGCGCGAAGGCGUGGGGAGCAAACAGG
rnacentral:rRNA from 1 species